GAUGAACGCUGGCGGCGUGCCUAAUACACGCAAGUCGAGCGAACAGACGAGGAGCUUGCUCCUUCGACGUUAGCGGCGGACGGGUGAGUAACACGUAGGUAACCUACCUAUAAGACUGGGAUAACUUCGGGAAACCGGAGCUAAUACCGGAUAAUAUUUCGAACCGCAUGGUUCGAUAGUGAAAGAUGGCUUUGCUAUCACUUAUAGAUGGACCUGCGCCGUAUUAGCUAGUUGGUAAGGUAACGGCUUACCAAGGCAACGAUACGUAGCCGACCUGAGAGGGUGAUCGGCCACACUGGAACUGAGACACGGUCCAGACUCCUACGGGAGGCAGCAGUAGGGAAUCUUCCGCAAUGGGCGAAAGCCUGACGGAGCAACGCCGCGUGAGUGAUGAAGGUCUUCGGAUCGUAAAACUCUGUUAUUAGGGAAGAACAAACGUGUAAGUAACUGUGCACGUCUUGACGGUACCUAAUCAGAAAGCCACGGCUAACUACGUG
rnacentral:rRNA from 1 species